GACGAACGCUGGCGGCGUGCUUAACACAUGCAAGUCGAACGCUGAAGCACCAGCUUGCUGGUGUGGAUGAGUGGCGAACGGGUGAGUAAUACGUGAGUAACCUGCCCUUGACUCUGGGAUAAGCCCGGGAAACUGGGUCUAAUACUGGAUGCUACAUGUCGCCGCAUGGUGGUGUGUGGAAAGGGUUUACUGGUCUUGGAUGGGCUCACGGCCUAUCAGCUUGUUGGUGAGGUAAUGGCUCACCAAGGCGACGACGGGUACCCGGCCUGAGAGGCUGACCGGCCACCCUGGGACUGAGACACGGCCCAGACUCCUACGGGAGGCAGCAGUGGGGAAUAUUGCUCAAUGGGCGCAAGCCUGAUGCAGCGACGCCGCGUGAGGGAUGACGGCCUUCGGGUUGUAAACCUCUUUCAGCAGGGAAGAAGCCACAAGUGACGGUACCUGCAGAAGAAGCGCCGGCUAACUACGUG
rnacentral:rRNA from 1 species